UUAGAGUUUGAUCUGGCUCAGGAUGAACGCUGGCGGCGUGCCUAAUACAUGCAAGUCGUACGCACUGGCCCAACUGAUUGAUGGUGCUUGCACCUGAUUGACGUUGGAUCACCAGUGAGUGGCGGACGGGUGAGUAACACGUAGGUAACCUGCCCCGGAGCGGGGGAUAACAUUUGGAAACAGAUGCUAAUACCGCAUAACAACAAAAGCCACAUGGCUUUUGUUUGAAAGAUGGCUUUAGCUAUCACUCUGGGAUGGACCUGCGGUGCAUUAGCUAGUUGGUAAGGUAACGGCUUACCAAGGCGAUGAUGCAUAGCCGAGUUGAGAGACUGAUCGGCCACAAUGGAACUGAGACACGGUCCAUACUCCUACGGGAGGCAGCAGUAGGGAAUCUUCCACAAUGGGCGCAAGCCUGAUGGAGCAACACCGCGUGAGUGAAGAAGGGUUUCGGCUCGUAAAGCUCUGUUGUUGGAGAAGAACGUGCGUGAGAGUAACUGUUCACGCAGUGACGGUAUCCAACCAGAAAGUCACGGCUAACUACGUGCCAGCAGCCGCGGUAAUACGUAGGUGGCAAGCGUUAUCCGGAUUUAUUGGGCGUAAAGUGAGCGCAGGCGGUUGCUUAGGUCUGAUGUGAAAGCCUUCGGCUUAACCGAAGAAGUGCAUCGGAAACCGGGCAACUUGAGUGCAGAAGAGGACAGUGGAACUCCAUGUGUAGCGGUGGAAUGCGUAGAUAUAUGGAAGAACACCAGUGGCGAAGGCGGCUGUCUGGCCUGCAACUGACGCUGAGGCUCGAAAGCAUGGGUAGCGAACAGGAUUAGAUACCCUGGUAGUCCAUGCCGUAAACGAUGAGUGCUAGGUGUUGGAGGGUUUCCGCCCUUCAGUGCCGGAGCUAACGCAUUAAGCACUCCGCCUGGGGAGUACGACCGCAAGGUUGAAACUCAAAGGAAUUGACGGGGACCCGCACAAGCGGUGGAGCAUGUGGUUUAAUUCGAAGCAACGCGAAGAACCUUACCUGGUCUUGACAUCCGGACGCCGUAUGGGCAAAGCCAUAUUUCCUUCGGGACGUCCGAGACAGGUGGUGCAUGGUUGUCGUCAGCUCGUGUCGUGAGAUGUUGGGUUAAGUCCCGCAACGAGCGCAACCCCUGUUUCCAGUAGCCAGCAUAUAAAGAUGGGCACUCUGGAGAGACUGCCCGGGAUAACCGGGAGGAAGGCGGGGAUGACGUCAAAUCAUCAUGCCCCUUAUGAUCAGGGCUACACACGUGCUACAAUGGCGUAAACAAAGGGAAGCGAGACGGUGACGUUGAGCAAAUCCCAGAAAUAACGUCCCAGUUCGGAUUGUAGUCUGCAACCCGACUACAUGAAGCUGGAAUCGCUAGUAAUCGCGAAUCAGAAUGUCGCGGUGAAUACGUUCCCGGGUCUUGUACACACCGCCCGUCA
rnacentral:rRNA from 1 species